CGGAGCGUAGUUCAUCGGUAGAACGCACGGUUCGGGACCGUGAAGUAGCAGGUUCAAUUCCUGUCGCUCCGA
rnacentral:tRNA from 5 species